GACAGGUUGAAGAUGACCAUGACCAAGGACA
rnacentral:piRNA from 1 species